AGGAUAUCUAGUUCGAGAAGGCGAGAUUUUAGCUUUCUUUGUGAAGCGUUUGGUGAAGGGUUGAUAAAAAGACAAAUAAUAGGGACUUUCUAGAUUUGGAAGAGGACGGGCUGGAUGGAAUACUUUUCCCCAGUCAUUGGACUUGUUCGAAGAGCUAGUUCUCUGGAAAGCCCAAGCCAGGUGGAUGGUUAUGGUCGAUGCAUUGCGGCUGGGAAAAACACGAUAGAUAGAAAAGGUGAAAAUUGCCUAACUGAGUUUCGUUGAAUACUGAGUUGGUGACAAGCAUUAAUGAUAGUGAUUAUUGUGUAGAUGCAGUAGUGUGUAAUUAAAGUAAUGAUUUGUUUAUAUUUUACAAUCAAGAACAACAAAAUACGUCUGACCAGUUUGAGAUAUGUAGUCAAUUAAAGUAUGAUCG